rnacentral:rRNA from 1 species
AUGCCGGAGCAGAGCAAGAGGCAGCGAGGCCGCAAGCGCACGGCGGCAGCGACGCUGCUCCUCGCGUACGCGGCCCUGGCCAUGGAGCGCGCCGACGCGGCGCUGCUCCCUGCGGUGUACAGGGAGAUCGGCGCCGCGCUGCAGACCUCGCCCACCGCGCUCGGCUCCAUCGCGCUCUCCCGCUCCGUCGUGCAGGCCGCGUGCUACCCCCUCGCCGCAUACCUGGCCGCCCGGCACGACCGCCUCACCGUCAUCGCCCUCGGCGCGUUCCUCUGGGCCGCUGCCACCUUGCUCAUAGGCCUCUCCACCACCUUUGCGCAGAUGGCCGUGACGGCGGCGUUGAACGGCGUCGGGCUGGCGUUGCAGAUCCCGGCGAUCUUCGCCUUCGUCGCGGACUCCGUCGAUGGCACGAACAGGGGCAUGGCCUUCGGGUGGCUCAUGGUGGCCAGCAAGGCCGGCACCGUGGGCGGCACCACCCUUGGCCUACUCAUGGCGCCCACCUCCUUCUUUGGUGUUCCGGGUUGGCGGCUCGCCUUCCUCCUGCUGGCCGCCGUGGGGGCGGCGGUCGGCUUGUCCAUCCGCGCGUUCGCGGCCGCCAGCAAGGCCCCGGUCCGGGCCGCCAAGCCGGUGCGGCAGGAGCUGCAGGACUUCGCGAGGGAGGCGAAGGCCGUGCUACGGAUCCCGUCGUUUCAGGUCAUCGUCGCGCAGGGACUCACGGGUUCGUUCCCCUGGUCCGCGCUGUCCUUCACGGCUAUGUGGCUCGAGCUAGUCGGCUUCUCCCACGGCGAGACGGCGGCGCUGAUGACUCUGUUCAAGGUCGCCACGUCGCUGGGCGGCCUCUUCGGCGGCAAGAUGGGGGACGUCCUCGCCGGGAGGCUCAAGAACUCAGGCCGCAUCAUCCUCGCGCAGGUCAGCGCCGGCUCGGCGAUCCCCCUCGCCUGCGUCCUGCUGCUCGCGCUCCCGAACGAGCCGGCGACUUUCGCCCACCACGGCGCCGCGCUGUUCGUCAUGGGGUUCAUGGCCUCCUGGAACACCUCGGCCACCAACAGCCCGAUACUGGCCGAGAUCGUGCCGCCGCGGUCGAGGACGAGCGUGUACGCGCUGGACCGGACGUUCGAGGCCGUGCUCGCCUCGUUCGCUCCCCCGGUGGUCGGCAUGCUCGCCGAGCACCUCUACGGCUACAAGCUGGUGCGCUCUGCUGCGAGCGGCGCAGAGCACGCGGCCUCCGUCGAGACGGACCGGCACAACGCGAUCUCCCUCGCCAGGGCCCUGUACACCGCGAUCGCCAUCCCCAUGGCGCUGUGCUGCCUCGUCUACUCGUUUCUGUACUGCACCUAUCCCAGAGACAGAGACCUGGCGCGGGCUGAGACGGCGCGAGAUGGAGGUGGAGCCCGUCCCGGCGGCGAGGGGUCCGACAACGAGGAUGAAGGGGAGGAGGAGAGGGAGCUGCUGCCACAGUGA